ACCUUUUUAGUAUAAAUAGUACAUUUGCUUUCCACGCACAUAGUUUAAGAUUUCCUUAAAAAAGGUA
rnacentral:tRNA from 1 species